rnacentral:rRNA from 1 species
AUUGAACGCUGGCGGCAUGCCUAACACAUGCAAGUCGAACGAGUGGCGGACGGGUGAGUAAUGUCUGGGAAACUGCCCGAUGGAGGGGGAUAACUACUGGAAACGGUAGCUAAUACCGCAUACCAUCGGAUGUGCCCAGAUGGGAUUAGCAAGUAGGUGGGGUAACGGCUCACCUAGGCAACGAUCCCUAGCUGGUCUGAGAGGAUGACCAGCCACAAGGGAACUGAGAAAGGGUCCAGAAUCCUACGGGAGGCAGCAGUGGGGAAUAUUGGACAAUGUGGGCAAGCCUGAUGAAGCCAGGCGGGGUGGAUGAAGAAGGCCUUCGGGUUGUAAAGUACGUUCAGCGAGGAGGCGUUACUCGAAGAAAAAGCACCGGCUAACUCCGUGCCAGCAGCCGCGGUAAUAC